rnacentral:rRNA from 1 species
GAUGAACGCUGGCGGCGUGCCUAAUACAUGCAAGUCGAGCGAACGGACGAGAAGCUUGCUUCUCUGAUGUUAGCGGCGGACGGGUGAGUAACACGUGGAUAACCUACCUAUAAGACUGGGAUAACUUCGGGAAACCGGAGCUAAUACCGGAUAAUAUUUUGAACCGCAUGGUUCAAAAGUGAAAGACGGUCUUGCUGUCACUUAUAGAUGGAUCCGCGCUGCAUUAGCUAGUUGGGAAGGUAACGGCUUACCAAGGCAACGAUGCAUAGGCGACCUGAGAGGGUGAUCGGCCACACUGGAACUGAGACACGGUCCAGACUCCUACGGGAGGCAGCAGUAGGGAAUCUUCCGCAAUGGGCGAAAGCCUGACGGAGCAACGCCGCGUGAGUGAUGAAGGUCUUCGGAUCGUAAAACUCUGUUAUUAGGGAAGAACAUAUGCGUAAGUAACUGUGCACAUCUUGACGGUACCUAAUCAGAAAGCCACGGCUAACUACGUG